rnacentral:ncRNA from 1 species
CCAAUCUAGGCGUCCAUAUUCUGCCUCUGGCGUUUCCCUGUACGUUAGCGAUAAGCGACGACGAUUGGACCAAGUUGCCGGCGUUCCUUGGCCAGGAUGGCAGCUUGGU